rnacentral:rRNA from 1 species
GACGAACGCUGGCGGCGUGCUUAACACAUGCAAGUCGAGCGGUAAGGCUCCUUCGGGAGUACACGAGCGGCGAACGGGUGAGUAACACGUGAGUAAUCUGCCCUUCACUUCGGGAUAACCACCGGAAACGGUGGCUAAUACCGAAUACGACCAGUCUUCGCAUGAGGUGCUGGUGGAAAGUCUUUUCGGUGAAGGAUGUGCUCGCGGCCUAUCAGCUUGUUGGUGGGGUAAUGGCCUACCAAGGCUUCGACGGGUAGCCGGCCUGAGAGGGUGACCGGCCACACUGGGACUGAGACACGGCCCAGACUCCUACGGGAGGCAGCAGUGGGGAAUAUGGGACAAUGGGCGAAAGCCUGAUCCAGCAACGCCGCGUGAGGGAUGACGGCCUUCGGGUUGUAAACCUCUUUCAGUACCGACGAAGCGCCCUGUCGGGUGGUGACGGUAGGUACAGAAGAAGGACCGGCCAACUACGUG